CCUACGGGAGGCAGCAGUAGGGAAUCUUCCACAAUGGGCGAAAGCCUGAUGGAGCAACGCCGCGUGGGUGAAGAAGGUCUUCGGAUCGUAAAACCCUGUUGUUAGAGAAGAAAGUGCGUGAGAGUAACUGUUCACGUUUCGACGGUAUCUAACCAGAAAGCCACGGCUAACUACGUGCCAGCAGCCGCGGUAAUACGUAGGUGGCAAGCGUUAUCCGGAUUUAUUGGGCGUAAAGGGAACGCAGGCGGUCUUUUAAGUCUGAUGGGAAAGCCUUCGGGUUAACCGGAGUAGUGCAUUGGAAACUGGGAGACUUGAGUGCAGAAGAGGAGAGUGGAACUCCAGGUGUAGCGGUGAAAUGCGUAGAUAUAUGGAAGAACACCAGUGGCGAAAGCGGCUCUCUGGUCUGUAACUGACGCUGAGGUUCGAAAGCGUGGGUAGCAAACAGGAUUAGAUACCCCGGGUAGUC
rnacentral:rRNA from 1 species